rnacentral:rRNA from 1 species
GGACUACACGGGUUUCUAAUCCUGUUUGAUCCCCACGCUGUCGCGCCUGAGCGUCAGAUAUGAGCCAGUGAGCCGCCUUCGCCACCGGUGUUCUUCCCAAUAUCUACGAAUUUCACCUCUACACUGGGAAUUCCACUCACCUCUCUCAUCCUCAAGUCUCACAGUUUCAAUGGCAUUUCCGGAGUUGAGCUCCGGGCUUUCACCACUGACUUGAAAGACCACCUGCGCGCGCUUUACGGCCAGUAAUUCCGAACAACGCUAGCCCCCUUCGUAUUACCGCGGCGGCUGGCAC